rnacentral:rRNA from 1 species
CUGAUGCAGCCAUGCCGCGUGUAUGAUGAAGGCCUUCGGGUUGUAAAGUACUUUCAGCGCGGAGGAAAGAGCUGUGGCUAAUAACCGAUGCCCAUUGACGUUACCCGCAGAAUAAGCACCGGCUAACUCCGUGCCAGCAGCCGCGGUAAUA